AAUGGGAUAGCUGGGUCAAAUGGUGGUUACAUUCCCAGUUUUCUGAGGAAUCUCUAUAACACUUUCCAGAGUGGUUGCACCAAUUUGCAGUCCCACCAGCAAU
rnacentral:pre_miRNA from 1 species